UUCUCCUAUACAUGUUGUUAUAGAGAAUUUCAAAUUUCAAUUCAAAUUUUGAUUUAAUGGUCAUUUAAUUACAUGUAACUAAACUCAAAGUAAUGGAAAAUGAAUUCAUUAUAAUCUCAUAAAAAUUGAAUUUUUGCACCACACAUAUGUAGAAAAAAUGCUACCAAAAAAUCAACAAAUAUUUUUAUUUGGCUGCUUUCCACGGUACAGUUUUUAAUUCAACAUAGUGAAUUCAGGAGAACUUUUUUUUAACAAAUACUUGGAGAGAAAAAAAAUUGUCAGAUCCAAAGAUACUUUUAUCUGUGUUAGCUUUAUAUAGUGUGUGACCAUAAGAGUAUUUAAACUUGACCUUUUUAUACCCCUGCACCAUGACCAUUCCAGACAGAAAUCCUAAUCCACGCCCUGUCUCUUUUAUUUUUGUCUCUGUAUCUUUUGUAUCUAGAUUUUGCAUGAAAUUCUUAUUUAUUUCAAAUAUGUUUGAAUCAUUUUUCUGUAAGAAUUAUGUUUACUUAUUAUGUUGCUUAAAAGGUGGCAGAAAAUGCUUUUUGUUUUUAUGAUAAUUAAAUGUCUUUCAGACAGUACAAUUAUUACAUCCCUUCUGCAUCCAGCUGCAAAAUUCUGUUUUGAUACAUGUCUUGCCAAUUUAAAUAUUUUUCCCCGGCUAUUUUGUGGAUUUUUUUUAAUUACUCAUUAUCUUGUUGCCACAUGAAUUAUUCUCUUGCACAGAGGGUAUAUUGUUCAAAAUUAUGAUUUUUAAGAGAAAAUGUUGCAGUUUAAACCCCAGAAAUAUUAUGUGGGAACACCCAAUUCUUAUAAUUUGCAAUUGUUUUCAUAUCAAUUUUCUUUCUACAUGAAGGGAUGUAACUUUUGUCAACAUUUAAGACAAUUAAUUAACCUCCCUUGCUGUGAUAAAUAGAGAGAAAUACUGAAAUAGAAUAUGCAUGUUUUGCAUUUAAUAUUUAUUUGUAGUGUUGAUUUAUCUGCGAUGAAAUUACAAAGAGCUGUAAUAUAUGUAAAAAAUUGUUAUUGUGUUAAAUGUUAAAGCCUUGAAACAAAAGGUAUGUGUUAUGUUUGUUGCUUCAAUGAAAUUGUGAUCUGUUAUUGUGGUUAUUUUUAGAAGAGUAAUGUGCUUUUGUUAAUUAUAUGUAAACAGUUUGAUUUAGCAUUGAUGAAAUUUGUCCAGGCUUUAUGACUGGUAAUCUAGCAAGUGUAACACCCACAUUGUGAACUUAGAUGCCUCAUGAUGAUGAUGUUGGGCAUAUUUAUAUAAAGCGGCAUGAUAGCAACAAGUUUUCUGAUAACUGUACUAUAACUUUUUUUUCCAAAGCCUUGCAAAAUUACUUACCAAAAUUUGCUGUAUAAUAUACCGGUAUAUAUUUUAGGCUGUUUUGGGGCUUUGAAAUGUACUCAAGAGUUUAUAUUUGAAAAUUUAGAGCUACCACAUAUUCAUGUAGAAUAAGUGAAAAUUCUUGAAGAUGUUGAUUCCUUAUUGACAAAGUUUAUUCUCUCUCUCUCUCUCUCUCUCUCUCUCUCUCUCUCUCUCUCUCCUUGCACCAUACAUAAUACCAUAAUCCUAUUGAGAGGGAGGACAAUCUCAUAUACAUGUAUUUAGUAUGAUAUAUGUAUAAUGUACUACCAGUAUUUUAAUCAAUUCAGCAGUGGGAUUAGAGGGGAACAAUAUAUACAUUCUAUAUAGGACACCAUAUUUUAGAAUAUCAUUUUGCUGACUCAUUUUGAAACACUAUACACUGUACAAAAUUUGAAGAACAAUUAAUGCUUGGGUUUGAAGGGAAACAACUUAUGGAGAGAGGAAUUUGAACUUGAUGGUUAAGUUUUGAUAUUGAACAAAACAAACACAUAUAGUACUUCAUAAAAUCCACAAUUUACAUAGAUUUGUUACAUCAAGAUUACUAUUAUUUUUUUAAUGGUUAAAAAAUUCUGAUGCAUUUACAUGGGUCUUACUUCCUGAAAUGUAUUGUGUAGGCAUUGUGGCUUCUAAAGUUUGAGUCUGUAGAGUCUAUGCUAUAGAGUCUUUGUCCCUGGCCUUUUUAUCCCUUUUACAUGUAGCUGUGUUGUCUGUUGUGUAUUCUGUGGGCAGUAAACGCCCUCGGGAGGUCAACCAAAACAAUAAAGAAUUUAUAUAGUGGAGGUUUUAUAUGUUACUUAAAUUAUGAUAUCAGUUGUUAUCAGUUUCUAUUAAUAAAUUUAUUGAUCCC
rnacentral:sRNA from 1 species